UACGUAGGGUGCAAGCGUUAUCCGGAAUUAUUGGGCGUAAAGAGCUCGUAGGCGGUUUGUCGCGUCUGCUGUGAAAACCCGAGGCUCAACCUCGGGCCUGCAGUGGGUACGGGCAGACUAGAGUGCGGUAGGGGAGAUUGGAAUUCCUGGUGUAGCGGUGGAAUGCGCAGAUAUCAGGAGGAACACCAAUGGCGAAGGCAGCACUCUGGGACGUGACUGACGCUGAGACGCGAAAGCGUGGGGAGCAAACAGG
rnacentral:rRNA from 1 species